rnacentral:rRNA from 1 species
UAGGGAAUCUUCCACAAUGGACGCAAGUCUGAUGGAGCAACGCCGCGUGAGUGAAGAAGGUCUUCGGAUCGUAAAACUCUGUUGUUAGAGAAGAACACGAGUGAGAGUAACUGUUCAUUCGAUGACGGUAUCUAACCAGCGAGUCACGGCUAACUACGUGCCAGCAG